UGACCUCCAAUCCAGGAAGAAUACCCGCUGAACUUAA
rnacentral:rRNA from 1 species